rnacentral:rRNA from 1 species
GAUGAACGCUGGCGGCGUGCUUAACACAUGCAAGUCGAACGAAGCAUUUAGAACGGAUUACUUCGGUUUGAAGUCCUUUAUGACUGAGUGGCGGACGGGUGAGUAACGCGUGGGUAACCUGCCUUGUACUGGGGGAUAGCAGCUGGAAACGGCUGGUAAUACCGCAUAAGCGCACAAUGUUGCAUGACAUGGUGUGAAAAACUCCGGCGGUAUAAGAUGGACCCGCGUCUGAUUAGCUAGUUGGUGAGAUAACAGCCCACCAAGGCGACGAUCAGUAGCCGACCUGAGAGGGUGACCGGCAACAUUGGGACUGAGACACGGCCAAGACUCCUACGGGAGGCAGCAGUGGGGAAUUUGGCACAAUGGAGGGAACUCUGAUGCAGCGACGCCGCGUGAGUGAAGAAGUAAUUCGUUAUGUAAAGCUCUAUCAGCAGGGAAGAUAGUGACGGUACCUGACUAAGAAGCUCCGGCUAAAUACGUGCCAGCCGCCGCCGUAA